rnacentral:rRNA from 1 species
GAUGAACGCUGGCGGCGUGCCUAAUACAUGCAAGUCGAGCGAACAGACGAGGAGCUUGCUCCUCUGACGUUAGCGGCGGACGGGUGAGUAACACGUGGAUAACCUACCUAUAAGACUGGGAUAACUUCGGGAAACCGGAGCUAAUACCGGAUAAUAUAUUGAACCGCAUGGUUCACUAGUGAAAGACGGUUUUGCUGUCACCUAUAGAUGGAUCCGCGCCGCAUUAGCUAGUUGGUAAGGUAACGGCUUACCAAGGUAACGAUGCGUAGCCGACCUGAGAGGGUGAUCGGCCACACUGGAACUGAGACACGGUCCAUAAUCCUGCGGGAGGCAGAAGUAGGAAAUCUUCCGGAAUGGGCGAAAGCCUGACGGAGCAAGGCCGCGUGAGUGAUGAAGGUCUUCGGAUCGUAAAACUCUGUUAUUAGGGAAGAACAAAUGUGUAAGUAACUAUGCACGUCUUGACGGUACCUAAUCAGAAAGCCACGGCUAACUACGUG